rnacentral:lncRNA from 1 species
UUAUUUGUAAAUUAAAGUUAAAAAGAUAAUUCUUAAUUUUUUUUGAAGGAAAGACGAAAAAAAUAAUCGAUUUUAUGGCUAUUAGCAUUUUCGAGCAAUCAAUUUUUAAAUACUGAAAUAUGCAUCUGAAUAAUCGGACAAAAUUAGAGGAUAUUCAAUAAAUGAUAACACGAAAGAGAAUUGUGCAUUCUAUAUAUUAUUGGCAUGCUGAGAAGAAAAGGCCGUUUCAUUCGAUACACAACAUACAAUUGAUCUGAACGUAUACAUAUUAUACACGGCUCACGAAUGGAGGAGUGAGUCUCGAGGGGAGCAACCGGUGCCGGUUUAUUCCCGAUCGAAUGUUUUUGUCCAACCAUCGCAAACCUAAUUGGAUUCGCUACAAACCACCAACAGUCGUAUACGGACACAACGAACACGACCUCGGUUUCUACAUGGAUACAUAACUCUUCACAGGCAGUCAGGCGCUAAUGUCGAUGCAUGUAGCUGGCAGCAACCAGAUUGUGCUACAUUUCUACAUCAUCGUUCUUUUCCUUUUGUCAUUUUUUAUCGCUCUUCUCACUAGAUAAAUAACUAGAUAGAUUGAGAGAUGUAUCUACGAAAUGGGGCAAUUAGCAAAACAUUAGCAACCAGAAAAGCAACCUAUCGAUAUAAAAUGGAUUCUAAACGAAAAAGAAUGAAAAAGGUAGAAGAGUUGUAUAAAAGAAAAAGGUGGAAAAGGGAUAAAUAUACAUUGGAAAGAGAUGGAAAAAGGAAAUGUUGGCGAAAGAGAAAAUAAAGAGAAUAAAAAAAGAGAGAACUUUCAAGAGAUCAAGUUAGAGUACCGGCACAAAAAACCUGUCCCGCAUAAUUACAUUAUCGGUCACAUCUCGUUCGACUUCUGUCCGCAUAGCCCUUCGUCGGACAACCGAAUGCAUUCUCAUACAAUAGAGGCCACAGUUGCCUGGAGGACGAUGCAAUAAGAUCUUUGACGAAACUACAAGGGGUCUCAAUUAUGGUUUCUUUAUCCCAUUUUUUCCGAUUCUUAAUAGAAUCGAAAUUAAAUAUUCUAACAAUAUAUUCUAACAAAUUCAAUAAAAAUUUUGAGAUCAUUAUUUCAGUUUGUCUUUUUGCUUUAAAAAAAUAUAACUUUGAAUAAAUUUAAAGGAUAAACAUUUGAUAACAAAGAAUAAAUUAAUAAUCCUAAAUUUAUAUAAUUUGAUUGUUUAAAGAUUUUUAUUUAUUUAUUAUUAGUCGUUUAUUCUUUUUUUUUAUUGACGUGGGAGAUAUUACACAGGUAUUGGAAUGCGCGUUAUCAUUGCUGCUGAUAAACACAAGGCGAAAUCGUUUUGAAAUUUUACAUAACAUUUUUAACACAAUAUAAUACAUAUUUUCAAUCUCCAUUUUAUUAUGGGAGAUGAAAGAAUCUUUAACCAGAUUGCUAAACUCUGAAAACUUUAUACUGUAGAAAAAAUAUUCAAACAAUGCUAUUGUUAGAAACACGCAUAAUAAUGUAUUCUUAAUAAGAGUAUGCAUUUUUAUGCAUUUUUCUGUUGGAAAACUAAUUAGUAGUAAUAAUAAGGUAAUGUACAAUUAAAAGUUAGUACGAUAGACGCGCACAUGUUUCAACGAGUGUAUUCUCUCUGUUUAAUUAUUUUUGUCAUUUUUUUAUAUAUAACAUGUGCUGUCUUGUCGUUGUAAAAUGAACACUGUUUUGUAAAAAGUUUCGUAUAUAUCAUACUUUUUUUUUAAAUAUAAAUCUGUGCUUACUACAUUAACAUGAUGUCAUUGUUUGACAGUGUAAUAAUAAAAUUGUUAAUGCAAUGAUAAAAAAAGAGAUUCAGAUUUAAUAUACAAAUGUUUCGUGCUAAAUGCUAAUGUUUCUACAUAUAAAAAAAAUAAUACAAAAAAAAAAAAUAUUUUAUGCAUGUAAUAAGUGAAAUAAAGAAAAAAAAAAGUAUAUCAAAAUAUAUUAAAA